rnacentral:rRNA from 1 species
UAGGGAAUCUUCCACAAUGGGCGCAAGCCUGAUGGAGCAACACCGCGUGAGUGAAGAAGGGUUUCGGCUCGUAAAGCUCUGUUGUUGGAGAAGAACGUGCGUGAGAGUAACUGUUCACGCAGUGACGGUAUCCAACCAGAAAGUCACGGCUAACUACGUGCCAGCAGCCGCGGUAAUACGUAGGUGGCAAGCGUUAUCCGGAUUUAUUGGGCGUAAAGCGAGCGCAGGCGGUUGCUUAGGUCUGAUGUGAAAGCCUUCGGCUUAACCGAAGAAGUGCAUCGGAAACCGGGCGACUUGAGUGCAGAAGAGGACAGUGGAACUCCAUGUGUAGCGGUGGAAUGCGUAGAUAUAUGGAAGAACACCAGUGGCGAAGGCGGCUGUCUGGUCUGCAACUGACGCUGAGGCUCGAAAGCAUGGGUAGCGAACAGGA